AGCCAUGAGCUAAACACAAAGCGAACUAUUCUUUCGCCUUUUACUAAAGAAUACCGUGUGUUUGUCUCGCUAAAUGGUAUACCCUUAUUUUUGAAAGAGCCCUCUCUAGAGGGCU